GGUCACCAGACCAGCUUUGAUACCCGGGAUAACCUGACGUACUGUAACCAGACAAGGUCUGAUACCUGGGUUAACCUGACAUACUGUAACCAGACCAGCUCUGAUACCUGGGAUACCCUGACGUACUGUAACCAGACAAGGUCUGAUACCUGGGAUACCCUGACGUACUGUAACCAGACCAGCUCUGAUACCUGGGAUAACCUGACGUACUGUAACCGGACAAGGUCUGAUACCUGGGAUACCCAGACAUACUGUAACCAGACAAGGUCUGAUACCUGGGAUACCCUGACGUACUGUAACCAGACAAGGUCUGAUACCUGGGAUAACCUGACAUACUGUAACCAGACCAGCUCUGAUACCUGGGAUACCCUGACGUACUGUAACCAGACAAGGUCUGAUACCUGGGAUACCCUGACGUACUGUAACCAGACCAGGUCUGAUACCUGGGAUACCCUGACGAACUGUAACCAGACCAGCUCUGAUAUCUGGGAUAACCUGACGUACUGUAACCAGACAAGGUCUGAUACCUGGGAUACCCUGACGUACUGUAACCAGACAAGGUCUGAUACCUGGGAUAACCUGACAUACUGUAACCAGACCAGCUCUGAUACCUGGGAUACCCUGACGUACUGUAACCAGACAAGGUCUGAUACCUGGGAUACCCUGACCUACUGUAACCAGACCAGCUCUGAUACCUGGGAUACCCUGACGUACUGUAACCAGACAAGGUCUGAUACCUGGGAUAACCUGACAUACUGUAACCAGACAAGGUCUGAUACCUGGGAUACCCUGACAUACUGUAACCAGACAAGGUCUGAUACCUGGGAUAACCUGACGUACUGUAACCAGACAAGGUCUGAUACCUGGGAUACCCUGACGUACUGUAACCAGACAAGGUCUGAUACCUGGGAUACCCUGACGUACUGUAACCAGACAAGGUCUGAUACCUGGGAUACCCUGACGUACUGUAACCAGACAAGGUCUGAUACCUGGGAUAACCUGACAUACUGUAACCAGACAAGGUCUGAUACCUGGGAUACCCUGACAUACUGUAACCAGACAAGGUCUGAUACCUGGGAUAACCUGACAUACUGUAACCAGACAAGGUCUGAUACCUGGGAUACCCUGACGUACUGUAACCAGACCAGCUCUGAUACCUGGGAUACCCUGACGUACUGUAACCAGACAAGGUCUGAUACCUGGGAUAACCUGACAUACUGUAACCAGACAAGGUCUGAUACCUGGGAUACCCUGACGUACUGUAACCAGACAAGGUCUGAUACCUGGGAUACCCUGACGUACUGUAACCAGACCAGCUCUGAUACCUGGGAUACCCUGACGUACUGUAACCAGACCAGCUCUGAUACCUGGGAUACCCUGAGGUCACCAGACUGA
rnacentral:lncRNA from 8 species